UACGUAGGGGGCAAGCGUUGUUCGGAAUUACUGGGCGUAAAGGGCGCGUAGGCGGCACGGCAAGUCAGGAGUGAAAGCCCUGGGCUCAACCCGGGAACUGCUUUUGAAACUGCCGAGCUAGAGUGCGGAAGGGGCAACUGGAAUUCUUGGUGUAGCGGUGAAAUGCGUAGAUAUCAAGAGGAACACCUGCGGCGAAGGCGGGUUGCUGGGCCGACACUGACGCUGAGGCGCGAAAGCUAGGGGAGCGAACGGG
rnacentral:rRNA from 1 species